rnacentral:rRNA from 1 species
GAUGAACGCUAGCGGCAGGCUUAACACAUGCAAGUCGAGGGGCAGCACAGGUAGCAAUACUGGGUGGCGACCGGCAAACGGGUGCGGAACACGUACGCAAUCUACCUUUAUCUGGGGCAUAGCCCGGAGAAAUCCGGAUUAAUACCCCGUAACAUAUUUUGGUGGCAUCACUUAGAUAUUAAAACUCCGGUGGAUAGAGAUGAGCGUGCGUCCCAUUAGCUAGUUGGUAGGGUAACGGCCUACCAAGGCGACGAUGGGUAGCUGGCGUGAGAGCACGACCAGCCACACGGGCACUGAGACACGGGCCCGACUCCUACGGGAGGCAGCAGUGAGGAAUAUUGGUCAAUGGGCGCAAGCCUGAACCAGCCAUGCCGCGUGAAGGAUGAAGG